rnacentral:rRNA from 3 species
GUGGGUAGUUUGACUGGGGCGGUCUCCUCCUAAAGAGUAACGGAGGAGCACGAAGGUUGGCUAAUCCUGGUCGGACAUCAGGAGGUUAGUGCAAUGGCAUAAGCCAGCUUGACUGCGAGCGUGACGGCGCGAGCAGGUGCGAAAGCAGGUCAUAGUGAUCCGGUGGUUCUGAAUGGAAGGGCCAUCGCUCAACGGAUAAAAGGUACUCCGGGGAUAACAGGCUGAUACCGCCCAAGAGUUCAUAUCGACGGCGGUGUUUGGCACCUCGAUGUCGGCUCAUCACAUCCUGGGGCUGAAGUAGGUCCCAAGGGUAUGGCUGUUCGCCAUUUAAAGUGGUACGCGAGCUGGGUUUAGAACGUCGUGAGACAGUUCGGUCCCUAUCUGCCGUGGGCGCUGGAGAACUGAGGGGGGCUGCUCCUAGUACGAGAGGACCGGAGUGGACGCAUCACUGGUGUUCGGGUUGUCAUGCCAAUGGCACUGCCCGGUAGCUAAAUGCGGAAGAGAUAAGUGCUGAAAGCAUCUAAGCACGAAACUUGCCCCGAGAUGAGUUCUCCCUGAGACUUUAGGUCUCCUGAAGGAACGUUGAAGACGACGACGUUGAUAGGCCGGGUG